rnacentral:rRNA from 1 species
AAUGAACGCUGGCGGCGUGCUUAACACAUGCAAGUCGUACGAGAACUCUUCUGCUUGCAGAAGAUAGUAAAGUGGCGCACGGGUGAGUAACGCGUGGGUAAUCUACCUUCGACUCGGGGAUAACAUUGCGAAAGUGAUGCUAAUACCGGAUAAUAUCUGAUUUGCUUCGGCAGUUUAGAUCAAGGGUGGCCUCUAUAUAUAAGCUACUGAUUGAAGAUGAGCCCGCGUACCAUUAGCUUGUUGGUAGGGUAAUGGCCUACCAAGGCGACGAUGGUUAGCUGGUCUGAGAGGAUGAUCAGCCACACUGGAACUGACACACGGUCCAGACUCCUACGGGAGGCAGCAGUGAGGAAUUUUGCGCAAUGGGGGAAACCCUGACGCAGCAACGCCGCGUGAGUGAUGAAGGCCUUCGGGUCGUAAAGCUCUGUC